CGCGGCCUAUCAGCUUGUUGGUGGGGUAAUGGCCUACCAAGGCGACGACGGGUAGCCGGCCUGAGAGGGCGACCGGCCACACUGGGACUGAGACACGGCCCAGACUCCUACGGGAGGCAGCAGUGGGGAAUAUUGCACAAUGGGCGAAAGCCUGAUGCAGCGACGCCGCGUGAGGGAUGACGGCCUUCGGGUUGUAAACCUCUUUUAGCAGGGAAGAAGCGAGAGUGACGGUACCUGCAGAAAAAGCGCCGGCUAACUACGUGCCAGCAGCCGCGGUAAUACGUAGGGCGCAAGCGUUAUCCGGAAUUAUUGGGCGUAAAGAGCUCGUAGGCGGUUUGUCGCGUCUGCUGUGAAAUCCCGAGGCUCAACCUCGGGCCUGCAGUGGGUACGGGCAGACUAGAGUGCGGUAGGGGAGAUUGGAAUUCCUGGUGUAGCGGUGGAAUGCGCAGAUAUCAGGAGGAACACCGAUGGCGAAGGCAGAUCUCUGGGCCGUAACUGACGCUGAGGAGCGAAAGGGUGGGGAGCAAACAGGCUUAGAUACCCUGGUAGUCCACCCCGUAAACGUUGGGAACUAGUUGUGGGGUCCAUUCCACGGAUUCCGUGACGCAGCUAACGCAUUAAGUUCCCCGCCUGGGGAGUACGG
rnacentral:rRNA from 1 species